rnacentral:rRNA from 1 species
UCUAACGUGUGCGCGAGUCAAUGGGUCCCUCAGAACCCAGAGGCGCAAUGAAACGUGAAGGCGCGGCCUUCGUGACGGCUGUUGCGAUCCCGGGACUCCGCCCAGGGUCCGAUGAAGGGAGCAGCAACGGCCCGCCCACACUAGCUCACGUCGUGGUGACGACGUGAGCUAGCUAGACGCACACGUUGGA